CCUACGGGUGGCAGCAGUGGGGAAUAUUGGACAAUGGGGGGAACCCUGAUCCAGCCAUGCCGCGUGUGUGAAGAAGGCCCUCGGGUUGUAAAGCACUUUCAGUGAGGAAGAACGCCUGGUGGUUAAUACCCAUCAGGAAAGACAUCACUCACAGAAGAAGCACCGGCUAACUCCGUGCCAGCAGCCGCGGUAAUACGGAGGGUGCGAGCGUUAAUCGGAAUUACUGGGCGUAAAGCGCGCGUAGGUGGCUUGAUAAGCCGGUUGUGAAAGCCCCGGGCUCAACCUGGGAACGGCAUCCGGAACUGUCAAGCUAGAGUGCAGGAGAGGAAGGUAGAAUUCCCGGUGUAGCGGUGAAAUGCGUAGAGAUCGGGAGGAAUACCAGUGGCGAAGGCGGCCUUCCGGACUGACACUGACACUGAGGUGCGAAAGCGUGGGUAGCAAACAGGAUUAGAUACCCUGGUAGUC
rnacentral:rRNA from 1 species